UACGGAGGGUGCGAGCGUUAACCGGAUUUACUGGGCGUAAAGGGCGUGUAGGCGGUCUCUCACGUCCGAUGCUAAAGACCGAAGCUCAACUUCGGGGGUGCGUUGGAUACUGUGAGGCUAGACGGUCGGAGAGGGGAGCGGAAUUUCCGGAGUAGCGGUGAAAUGCGCAGAUACCGGUAGGAACGCCGAUAGCGAAGGCAGCUACCUGGACGAUUUGUGACGCUGAGGAGCGAAAGCGUGGGGAGCAAACCGG
rnacentral:rRNA from 1 species